CAGUAGCCGCGGUAAUACGGAGGGUGCAAGCGUUAAUCGGAAUUACUGGGCGUAAAGCGUGCGUAGGCGGUUCGUUAAGUCUGUUGUGAAAGCCCCGGGCUCAACCUGGGAAUGGCAAUGGAUACUGGCGAGCUAGAGUGUGUCAGAGGAUGGUGGAAUUCCCGGUGUAGUGGUGAAAUGCGUAGAGAUGUGGAGGAACACCAGUGGCGAAGGCGACUCUCUGGUCUGUAACUGACGCUGAGGAGCGGAAGCGUGGGGAGCGAACAGGAUUAGAUACCCCAGUAGUCCCUGUCUCUUAUAC
rnacentral:rRNA from 1 species